AGAGAGAGACAUGCGCGCAUAUCAAUAAGCGGAGGAAAAGAAACUAACUAGGAUUCCCUCAGUAACGGCGAGUGAAGCGGGAAGAGCUCAAAUUUGAAAUCUUCAAGGUUCUACCUUGACGAAUUGUAGUUUAAAGAAGUGUUUUCUGUUGGAAGUUUUGGUAAAAGUUCUUUGGAAUAGGACAUCAUAGAGGGUGAGAAUCCCGUAUUUGACCAUUACUUUCAACUGUGUGAUACACUUUCAAAGAGUCGGAUUGUUUGGGAAUGCAGUCCAAAAUGGGUGGUAAAUUUCAUCUAAAGCUAAAUAUUGGCGAGAGACCGAUAGCGAACAAGUACCGUGAGGGAAAGAUGAAAAGAACUUUGAAAAGAGAGUUAAACAGUACGUGAAAUUGUCAAAAGGGAAGCGUUUGACACCAGUGUUGUUUUCUCGAAAAUCAAUUAAAAAAGGCAGGAUUUUGUGUUGUAUUGACUUUAUCAGCUUUCUGCACUCUUUUCUUGUCUUUUUUAAUGCACCUUUCGUUUAACAAGUCAACAUCAAUUUCUUUUGUUGUAAAAGGGUCAUUGGAAGGUGGCUUUCUUUUCGGAGAAAGUGUUUAUAGCCUUUGGCCUCUGCAAUCGGAGAGAUUGAGGUCUGCAGCGUAGAUCCUUCGGGGUUAGAUACAUUUGUGCUAAGUUAUAGCCUUUCAUAGACAACUUGUUGACUAUGAUCAGUCAUGUAGCUUACUCGCUUAUGCUAUUUUACCUACGCUUAGGAUGUUGAUGUGAUACUGCGAGCA
rnacentral:rRNA from 1 species